CUUUUUCUCUUUUGAUUCAGACAACCUAUGGAGAUUUUGAUCCUGUACUGAAAGGAACUGAAUGUGGAAAUUUUUGGAGUGUCCAUUCAAUGCCUCCCUGGAGUCUCUGCCAAAGGAAAAAUUAGACACGACUAUGUCUGGAUCCGGCUACUACAUCUAUGAUGCUGUGGAUGUGGUGGCCUGAGCCCUCCAUGAAAUACUUCUUAUAAAAGCAGAACAGGGGUCCAUAAUGGAUGCAGGCCAGCUCAUGUUUCUCCCUUAGCAGCUCCACCCAUUCCUAAGAAACACCCAAUUUAAAAAAAGCACUGGAGCUCACGUGUCACUGGAUGAGAAAAGAAACUCUGUGUCACAGCAUGUAAUUCUGAACUAUAUGAUUUUCCUAAAGGUCUUGGACUUCAGGUGAAAGACGUUCUGUCAGCCAGGAUUCAGGAACAUCCCUCAGGAAGAGAGAGCUACCUGCUGCUUUGUCUGUGUAUUGUGCCCCGAGAGAGAAAUAUGUAAUCAGACAGACACUGGAGACCUCCCCCGAGGCUGGGGUGCGCGGCCCCGCCCCGCCCGCCGCCUCAACCCGGAGCCCCCAAACGUCCGU